UGGGUGGGUAACGCGUGGGUAACCUGCCCUUAAGUCUGGGAUACCAUUUGGAAACAGAUGCUAAUACCGGAUAAAAGCUACUUUCGCAUGAAAGAAGUUUAAAAGGCGGCGUAAGCUGUCGCUAAAGGAUGGACCUGCGAUGCAUUAGCUAGUUGGUAAGGUAACGGCUUACCAAGGCGAUGAUGCAUAGCCGAGUUGAGAGACUGAUCGACCACAUUGGGACUGAGACACGGCCCAAACUCCUACGGGAGGCAGCAGGC
rnacentral:rRNA from 1 species